rnacentral:ncRNA from 1 species
UGAGAUAGAGGAUGCGUCUUAUGAUGAGUAACGCUGCCGAUGUGAUACGGAACAGGCAGCGCGGAAGGCAUGGACGCCGAAGACGGGCAGAACCGUGUGGCUGCCUUGUCUGGGCGGACGGACUAAGAGUCGUCCGACUGUCGCACUUCAUUUCGUAGAGAGAGAUGACUGCGGAGCGCUAUCC